GUCUACGGCCAUGCCACCCUGAACAAGCCCGAUCUCGUCUGAUCUCGGAAGCUAAGCAAGGUUGGGCCUGGUUAGUACUUGGAUGGGAGACCACCUCGGAAGACCAGGCGCUGCAGGCG
rnacentral:rRNA from 1 species